rnacentral:miRNA from 1 species
AAAUAUUUCUUCUGAGAUCUUGUCUGGAUCGAUAGGAGUUUUCUUCUCUUGGCCCGGUUGUUCAAAGGUGGGUGAGCGCUAACCCUGGGUUAAAAUUUAACCUGCUGUUUUAGUUUGUGUAUUUCUGCACGUUUGUUUCUCUCAAAACGUCAGAGAAGAAAACUCCUAUCGAUCCUGACAAGAUCUCUGAAGAAAUAUUU